rnacentral:tRNA from 1 species
ACGUCGGUGGCUCAGGGGUUAAGCACUUGACUUGUAAUCAGCAGGUCCUGGGUUCGAAUCCCGCCAUGUA